CUUAGACCUCUUGAGAAGCGAAACGACGCUCCCUUCUUCUCCUUCUAUAGAAAUCCAAGCAAAAUCAUACCUUUCCUCUCCAAAAUUGCACACAAAUAGACCCCUCUUCUUUUUUUCUUCAUUUUCAUUUUUUCGAAAACACACACAGAGAAAAUCAGAACCCCGAUGUUUCUGCGCAAUUUGCCAGCGCCAAAACAAAAAAAAAGUAAUAACUCUUUCUUCUCCAACCAUCUUGCUCAUGAGAUCAGAUCGGAAGUUGAGAGUAAAUAACUGAAAACCAAAAUAUUCAGCAAUAAAAUUGAAUUCGUGCUCUGCAAAUACUGCUCUAUUUUUUUUUUUGUUGAUUUUCGUUUUCAAAUCAGAGUGUUGCUUUGGCGGCCACUUCAAAUAUACUGGGAAUGUCGAAAUAUUUGAGUUGGUUUUUUUUCAAGGCUAAAUCGAGAGCUAAGAAGGCUGCUCGUUGUUGCGGGUUGCAACUUUGCUGGACUCCUAGUUAAUUUCUUUGCUUUUCCAAGUUAGCCUUCAUUCAGGAGUUGGGUACUUCUGCUCUCUUCAAGUGAGCACAUGUUUUUCAUGUGAAUAUCCAGGUUCUUUGGCCCAACCAUAUUAUCGGUGAGGAGAGGCGACCUUCAGAGACUUUGAGGUAUAUCUGUCGCGCCCGCAGACCGAGGAGUCCCUCUCUAUUCUCCCCUCUAGCUUUAGCUCUCCUGUAUUUACUUUUGUUUUGACAUUCUGGAGUUAGAACACUUUGUAGUUAUUCUAUAGCUUGUGAUUUCAUGAGAUUCUAGGUUUUGGGAUUGUUGUUGUUGGUCGAGAGUGUUAUUAUGGUAUAUGCAGAGCGGCAUUUUAAACUUUUUUUCU